rnacentral:tRNA from 1 species
GGCCUGAUAGCUCAGAGGAACGAGUGGCGCUUUCCGGUAGGCACGGUUGUCUGAAAAGACUGGCUGGCGCAGGUCCCGGGUUCGACCCCCGGUCGGGUCU